AUAAAAUCCGUUGGCUUUUUAGACCGUGAGGGUUCAAGUCCCUCUACCCCUA
rnacentral:tRNA from 1 species